UGCUAACAGCCAACUUGUCCUUUCUGGUAUACGUAGAGUGCUAAGAUAAUCAUAUGAUAUCCUUAAAUCUAAUAGUUUUAUCUAGUAACAGGCGUUUUAUUAGCGUUUCAGCCCAUGCUUGUGUAUUGUAACAGCUACAGUUCUCUGGUGGUUUUCAGAGUAUAACGUGUGGCGCUCCGUCUUUGUGGCCAAAAUGCCAAACUUGAGGCUUCAAAACCGGAUUAACAAACCAAGGGGUGGUCUCUCUGUGACUGUGUUCAUUAUAUGUCAAUAUAAUAAAUAAUCAGAUUUACAUAGCUAUACAACUUAGUGACAUCACCCUCUUAGAGCCACAUUUUGUACCGUGGUUAUAAUAAGUAGCCUCCAAACUAAUGAGUCCACUAAUCCUGUGACUGUGCUUCUCAGUGAUUCUCCACAUUAACAGACACGUUAAAGAGCCACAUAUUGUUCUAAUCUUGAGUGUGACCUCUGACCCGUAGUGUUUUCUUGCAGCUGUGGAAAGCCCCUCCCCUCUAAAGGUCACACCGCCCCACUGUCGACUCCCCUGCCUCUGCUCCUGCUGUGACCUAGUGACCUUUUUCAGCGACCGGGCGGCCGACACGACUCUGCUGCUCAGAAGUUUGAGUCCUCAGUGUGUUUCCCACAGUGUGUUCAGGGUACAGCAGUCCCAGAAUGAAGCAGAGAAAAGUCGACCUGCAACCAAACAGCAACACACAGCCCAAAAUAUUGUUCUAGUUGUUAUUGUUUAUUGUAUUUA